UUUUGAAAAAUUUAUAUUUUUUUAUUUUUCAAAAUUUGAAAUCUUAUCCCCAAAACCUCACUUCUCAACUCUAAACCCUAAAACCUAAACUCUAAACCCUAAACCCUAAAUUCUAAACCCUAAACCCCACUCCUUGAAUGCUAUUUUUGUGACUUUUGACCUUGAGUGCUAGUUUGGGAACAAAAACUUGAUUUAGUGCUAUUUUGGUCUUUUUCUCUUUUUUUUUGCCUAUAGUUUGAUACUGUAAUUAUAAUUCUACGCCAAGGAAAACAAAAAAUGAAAAAACAUAUGGGAUCCUCUUAAAACAUUUAAAACUAUAGAAAAGAAAAACAAAUAAAUCAACCUAUAAUUAAUGUCGGCCGAAAAAUAGAAAAUUAACCUACUAUAUUCACAUCUACUAAUUAGAUCAAUAACUAUAAACAAUAAAAAACUAUAAAUUUCACUCCAUCUAAUUUUUAAACUCAUAAAACAAUUUACAUGAGUAU
rnacentral:lncRNA from 1 species